rnacentral:rRNA from 1 species
GACGAACGCUGGCGGCGUGCCUAAUACAUGCAAGUUGAGCGAUGAAGAUUGGUGCUUGCACCAAUUUGAAGAGCAGCGAACGGGUGAGUAACGCGUGGGGAAUCUGCCUUUGAGCGGGGGACAACAUUUGGAAACGAAUGCUAAUACCGCAUAACAACUUUAAACAUAAGUUUUAAGUUUGAAAGAUGCAAUUGCAUCACUCAAAGAUGAUCCCGCGUUGUUUUAGCUAGUUGGUGAGGUAAAGGCUCACCAAGGCGAUGAUACAUAGCCGACCUGAGAGGGUGAUCGGCCACAUUGGGACUGAGACACGGCCCAAACUCCUACGGGAGGCAGCAGUAGGGAAUCUUCGGCAAUGGACGAAAGUCUGACCGAGCAACGCCGCGUGAGUGAAGAAGGUUUUCGGAUCGUAAAACUCUGUUGGUAGAGAAGAACGUUGGUGAGAGUGGAAAGCUCAUCAAGUGACGGUAACUACCCAGAAAGGGACGGCUAACUACGUG